rnacentral:ncRNA from 1 species
CCAGUCACGCCUCUCAACGAUGCGAACCCGACUGGU